CUACGGGUCGCUGCAGGCGAGAAAACUUUGCAAUGUGCGAAAGCACGACAAGGUUAAUCCGAGUGGUUUCUGCUAAAGGAACCUUUUGACAGUCCUAGAAACACUGUUGAAUAAGGGGUGGGCAAGUUCUGGUGUCAGCCGCCGCGGUAAAACCAGCACCUCAAGUGGUCAGGAUGAUUAUUGGGCCUAAAGCAUCCGUAGCCGGCUCUGUAAGUUUUCGGUUAAAUCUGUACGCUCAACGUACAGGCUGCCGGGAAUACUGCAGAGCUAGGGAGUGGGAGAGGUAGACGGUACUCGGUAGGAAGGGGUAAAAUCCUUUGAUCUAUUGAUGACCACCUGUGGCGAAGGCGGUCUACCAGAACACGUCCGACGGUGAGGGAUGAAAGCUGGGGGAGCAAACCGGAUUAGAUACCCUGGUAGUC
rnacentral:rRNA from 1 species